CCCUCACAGCCAGUGUCCAUGGCUGUUUGCUCACCUGCCCCAAUUUCAUGCUCCCUUACCCAGCUGACAGAGUUUUAUGGUUUUUUAGACCUUGCCUGUUUCUUCAGUGACCUCUUUUCUGGGGCUGGAGGAAAUCCCUGUACCUGCCCCCUUCCUUGCUACAACUUCAAAAACAUUUAGAAAACAAUACAGGGAGAAAUAUAAAGUUGGCAGAGGUUCAAGAGUACAGCUUAAGUAGCAACAUUUUGGGACAAUAAAAUACUAGCAAAUUAGCAUAAGAGUCAUCAGGUAUCACACUGGCAAGUAUCUGCUGGGAAAAAAAAAAAAAAAAUCUAAAACAUUUGUCAUUUAGAGAAAACAGGUGGCAUUGGUCACAGUGACCAGAGAACUCCCACAAAAGCCAAAACAACUUUAAUAAGUACAGAAAUCAUAUAUUUCAGAAAUUUUAAAUGUCCAUUAAGAACAGAAAAAUAAUAAUUUACAGAUUAUAAUUAAUAAUGCUCUUAAAGUUGACAUUCUUGUUCAGAUUCUUCCUGAAAAAUGCCAAGAAGAGAAAUAUGCACAGAAAAGAGAACAAAAAAGGCAGAAAGGCAAUGUCAGAAGUGAAGAGGAGGAAGGAACAAAAACAGAAAUGGAAAAAGAGCAGUAGGAACAAAUGGAAAAAGUGAAGGUAGAUCUGGAAAAGGAACAACAGGAGCACGGAGGACAUGUGGUUAGUGAGGAUAAUGUUCUCAUUUGAGAAGGGAACGUUUGAAUGAAAUGACAACAGAACUACUGUUGUCUUUGCUUUUCUUUUGCAAGCCAGGAACGUGCAUAUUCACCUAAGGAUGUUUCAGCAUGAAAAAACAUAGAUAACAACAAAGCAUUUUCCAACAUUACAGAAGGGUAACGGAUUGUGAAGAAACCAGCAAACGCUUCAGCACUCCCGGGCAAAUUCCGAACCAGAGUAUAACACAAACCUUUUAAUGUCAAACACGUGCAUAGAUAAAGUUCCAUCUUUUAGCAGAAUAUUAGAUUUUUCUUAAGCUUAGUAUUGCAUGCAUGUCUACUAAAUUAACUUUUAAAAAAUAUUUUAAUCCAUUUGUCAUUACUCUGAAUUCUAACUUUUCAAAGUCUUUGUUGAUAAUGAAAAAAAUCAGUAUCAACAGUGAAUCAAAGUCAUUAAACAAAUUUAGGUUUUCAACCUAUUGUACCUAGCUUACACAGUGAGUUCAUGAAGAUGAUAUUCCACACUUUCCAUAUAACACUAAACACACUGAGUGUUUUGCCUGACAAAAACCUCAGGAAAAUGUUAUAAAGAUCUCGCAGCAAUGUAGGUUAUUUCUUAAUGAUACAAGCAUAUUAUAUUUAAGGAAAAAAAAAAGGUAUUAAGGGCAUUUUUGUUCUUUACCUCUGCUGACAUAGCUUUAGGAAAAAAACCCAAACCCAACAAAUACUUGAGGCAAAGCUCUGGGAAACCGAUCAGUAUCAGAAACAAGCUAUUGUGGAACAUAAUCAUCACAUUUCUAAUCACCUUUUGAAAUGUUCUGCUUACACAAAACAGCGCAUUUGACACCAUCUCCUCGCUCCGCGUCCGUCUGGUAAUUUGCCAUUGGAACGGCGUUUCCCGGGAACAACAGCGCCCUCCUCGGGUGGUCUCCAGGAGCUGCAGCCUACCUGGAAACGCCGGGACGCACUGCAGCGCAUCCCGGGAAAACAGGCAUCGCCGAGAGCCCCAGUAGCAGGAGCAGCAUGUUUUAAUCACAUGUCUGAAAAGAAAGACUUAAAUUUUUUUAAAAUUUAUUUAUUUAAUUAGUGCCAUACCCUGCUUAACUUUAUUUCAGGAAAAUCAAAUAUGUAUUCAAAUCAAACUGCUGGAUUGAGAACACCAAGAUGACUGGAAAACACUUUGAACCACACUCACGAGUUUACAGAAACAGAAACGAGAGGAGUGGAGGUGCCAUGAGGAGGAGGUGGCAGCAAAGAAGUCACAAUUGGAGAAAACAGCACAAGAACAUAUUUGGCAGCAGCAGGAUUACCACAGGAAGCUUCUGCAGUUCCAGAAGAAGCAACAGCUAGAGGAACAGGGAGUAGCAGAUGGUCUCUAGAAAGACUAAUGCUUACUUUAGCAGUAGAUAGUUCAUCAGAAUGGAUGAUUUCUGGUAAAGACUUAGCCUGUGCAUCUGCCUGAAACUCCUGUGACACUACAUCCCAAACUUGCAGUACCUAAGCUGCUUCUCUGUUAAACAGAUAUGGUAACAAUAGUCCUCUCCGCCACAGUCCCUGCAGCCUGAAAAAAAUCCCACAGCCUAUCUAGGCUGCAGUGUGCAAGAUUCCUGGCAAUUACAACAUUCAUACUACAACUGAUUGUUUGUUUUCUCUCUGAAAGCCCAACUCCCAGCAUCUACAGUUAAAAAAAAAGAGAUUCAAACAAAUAGUUGCAGAGAAAGGCUUGAACAAAAAUCCAAUUACAAAUUAAGAAAAACUCAUGUGAGACAGUAUUAAAUGCUUGUAAUGACAGUACUGUAGCAGUAUUUUUUUAUCUGUAACUGAUAAAGUUAUUUCUAAAUAGAAAGUAUGUAAACAACCAAUAAUUGUUGGCGAUGUUUCUAAGAGGGACAAAAAUGCAGACAAAAAGAAGGGGCAAUGUGGUUAGAGGAAGAGCGCCAGCAGCUGGUUGACAUGGCAAUAGAAGACCUGGAAUUCAAAGAAAAAAACUAAGAAAUUGCAACAUAUAAGGCUAAGGAGCAAAUGAAGAAAGAGGAAGAUGCUAGACUACCUCUAGAGGAAGCCAAAAUACAAGCACAGCUUUUAAAUUUAAUCAGGGAUGUAGCUAUUAAGCAAAGAGUAAAGUUAAUUUGUUUCCUCAGUUAUAUCAACGCAUCUUUACACCUAGUGCCAGCCUAUACAGAAAUACCUCUGUAGCAGGAGUUCCAUCAGUGUAGUUAACACUGGAGAGCACCACUGGUACCUCAGGAGUUAAACUGCCAUCAAUUCCAGCCCCAAGACACAAUGCUCUUCUUUUUCUACUUGACCAGUUUUUCAGUAUUUCUCCAAAUUGCACCAGCAAUUGACAUCCACCUAAUUAUUUUAGCUUAAAACAUAUUAGAGAAAGAAACCCAACUGGAUUUCCCUGAACACCUGAAGUUAUGGUUACCUUUACACAAUCCAUCAGAGCAGUCUCCAGAGCUUCCACAACUUCCUGCAGCACCUCAGAACACAGGAACUGGGAGGCUGCAUAGUACACAUUAAAACACUGCAAAUUGUGUAACAGGCUUUGUAGGUCAAUUUAUGAGCCACAGAGCACUGCCAGGGAUAAGAGGCCAAGCAAGAACCACAGCUGAGCAGCAAUUAGCACCUACCACGUGUUCUACGCUUAUUGCUGUGACAGGAGGACAAGCUGGCCUACAAGAAGGUAUCAGCACAGGCCAGCAUGUUCUUCCACAGCCUAUUCCAGACCUUGCUCUAAGACAACUCCCAGGGGAAGCCCAGGCUCCUGCCCAGUGCUACAGAAGGCACCACACACACCAUGGCUGAAUCAAAGAAAGUGCCAGUGCACCAGCAAUGAGCUCACCAAGCAUGUAUGUGUCAAGUCAAUGCACUGGCUUUCUAAGCCCAGAAGGAAUUCUGUCUUGCAUCCCCUUUAUUAACACUGUUUGGAAGCAGAGAACAAAUUUGGAACCACCUCAGCAGUCCAAGGAACAUGACUAAUGGAAGCUACCAGAACAGAACACACUCAACAUGUCCUUCAUCCACUAGUGUGUUCUCACGUUCACCUGUUUGAAAAGCUAGGCCUGAAAUAGGUAUAAAAGAGUAAGUAAAUGCCUGGUGCUAGGAAUGGGUCACUGCAGUGAGUUGUUUCAGCUGCACUCAAAUUCAGGGAUCCAGUCUGGCUCAAGAGAAACCUUUUGGCACAGAUGCUACUCAUUCACAUAUUUAUUUUCCUAGACUGCAGCACUAGUCUGUGUUGACAUCCCACCAACAGCAAGUAAAAGCAUUCAUGUUUGGUCAGCCAGUAGAAAUUAAUCCAGACAGACCUCCUGAGGUGCCAAAUAGAUUCUUCGGUCCAUUUUGUGUAAAGAGAUAAAACAACAAAAUCACCAGGUUUCGAAAAGUUAUGAAGACCUCAGUGCUUCAGACUUCAAGAGGAACCCUCCAAAACAGUAAGUUGCAAUAAACAUGCUACUGUAAGAAGCAGCUAGAUUUCAGAUUCAGCAAUAAAAAGACUACAGAGAAACUGUAGCAAGGUAUUUGAGUCAAAGCAAAAGCCUUACAGCAAAGACCCACUUGUGGCACAGUCCACAUCAGCCUGGAAGUUGCUGGCUUUACCCUUCUCUGAACCCCUUGUUUAGAGGGAACAAGGACAUCACCAACAUCACAGUGAAUGCAUCAGCUGGAGAGCCACAUGAAUUACAUCUGCUAUAGUGCACUACUAGCUCACAGUGCAGCUUAACACCUACACCUUGCAACUCAAAGCCUGUUUACAACUGUUCUCUCAGAGAGCAACUUGUUCAAUUUCACAGUCAACAAGUUUGUUUGAUAUUUCCAGAAGGUCAUUAUUAUGAGUUUCUUCCUGCUUUUUCGUAACAAUUGGUGGAAGUCACUGGACAGAAGUAACUGUUUUCUGUUUAUUUACACUUUGAUCUACUAAAUGUGAACUAAAUACAUAUUUAUUCCAAAGUCACACUGAAGUUCAAGCUCAACAAUGGGAAGAUUCCCUUCAUGUUUUUCCCCCGCUAGCAAGCAGUGACUACACCCUCCUUUCUGAGGCAUUACACAUGGAGGUCUCCUUCCAAACUGCCUAUCUGCCUUACUAAAAGAUCCUAGUUAAAGAAAUAUAGUCCAACUAUAUUUCCAGGAAGAAACUCACCUCCUUGGGGGUAUGAUUAUCAGUAAUUCUCUGACCCUCGAAGAGAAACCUGAGUGAAUUCAUUGGAACACCCUAAAAAAAGAAACACACAUAUAAGAAUAAAACCCAACUUACUGAAUCUCAUAUGGGUUUACAGGAAAAAAUAUUUUAAAUAAAAACAACACAUGAAAGUCAUAAAAGAGUAUUAGUUCCUGUUACACAGGGAGCUCAGAUACUCUGUUGCAUUCACGUAGACUACCAAGAAGUGACUAAAAAAGUGUGAUAGUGCCAAAACACAUGUUUGUUCCAGAGUCUCACUGGACUUGUAGCUGAACAACUUGGAAGUUUCCUUAGCUUUUUUAACUUGUCUUUAUGAAUUAAGUACUGACUAUGCCCUCUCUCCCAAGAUAUAGUUACACAAGUAUUUUUCUGAACAGCGCAUCAGCCUUAUUUAAGGAUCCUAAGACAACAGGAGAAACAUGAUGUUUACUCCAUGAACUCCUACCCUUGCUUUCCCAAUCUUCUAUGGCUACAGGAAGGAAUCACAACCUUUACCAUUAUCAGUUCUGAAAAUGCUCAGCACUAGGAACAAGAAAGAGCAGAGCUGAGGGGAAGAAAAAUGAACAGCAUUCAAACAAAGUGAAACAAACAUCCCAAAGGUAAACAGAGUUAAGCUAAAGUAUGUCUGUUGCACAAUGUGCCCAUGUUCUGGCAGAAUGUCAUACUUCACAUCAAUAGAUAAGGCAAACACCUCAUCUUUCCUUCUCUUGCAAGUUAUGAGCAAAACAAACUCAUGUGGAAUAUGACACAAUUUUAACACUUAGCUCUCAAAUACUGCUUGCAAAUAACGAGGCAGAAAAUUUUCUCAGGUAAGGACAGAUCUUCACACUGUUUCAACAAUCCCUCUGGCCAAUGUGGAAGAAAUGUCCAUAGUCCCUUACCAGAGAAAGGCUACUUGACACCAAAAACUGCAUUGACUGCUGCAAAGGAAAUCACAGACCCUCCAGAAUUCAGCUCAGGAGAUAACAGGUGUGUUCAUUCAAACAAUUAUUUCUUUCUUUAAGAAAGAAUUCUACACAUGCAUGUUCAUUAGUCAGUAAGAAUGCUGUAUGAUUUCCAAGAUGAUUUUUUAAAAUGAAUCAUAAUUUUAGCCAUUUGGAUUUGGCUACAAAUGUAUCUGGUGUUUGAUCUUUUCUUUCCUCCUACUCCAGAAAGGCAGCAAAAAAUAACACAUUUCAUACAAGAACACUUCAAUGACAAGAUCACCUUGUCUCAAAGUAUUAGGAAAAAGCCCCCAAAGUAUUAUUACUUAUGAUUAUAUCUCCUGAAGUGAACUCAAACACACUUAUCCAAGAAAAGGCCACACAAGGCAUCUAUCCCCAAAGCUGAGGGCAAACUAGGCCAGGGCUUCUGGAAAUAGCAGCUGUGAAUCCACAAUAUCUAUCACAGAAUCUGGAAGUGAAGAUAUGUUUUUGUUCUGUAACAAUUGUUACUAUUUACCUACAUACACAACAAUUAUUAUUGCAGAUUUCUUUAACUUAGGGUAUAACUUCACAAUUGUCUUACAUAGGAGUACUUUUACUUGUCAAAAGAAAUGAGGAGAUCCAUUAUGUUUGUACCAUCAGAUACCUCAAAAGUCUUUAUUUGAAAGCACAGUGAGAAAAGUGGUUUGGGUUUUAUUUUCUUUUUAAAGAAUGUCAUUGUUUCACAAACCUGUCUUUGACAGUACGAUUCUUUGAGUUUCUUGAGGUGUGUUGUCAUUUUCACCUUGAAGUGAAUUUCACUGCUGUCCUACGGACAGAAAAGAAAAAAAAUUACUCUCCCUGUAGUAACUGCUAACUUUAUUUCUAAACAUUUCAUUAAGAAAAAAACUGACACAAAACUUACAUGAAACAUGGAAUGGGAUUUAACUAUCACCAUGCACACUUUGGUGCAUCAUGACAUGAACCUCCAGGACAAUUUAUCAGUCACUCAAUUUGCUACGUACUUCCACAGGAAGUUCUUUUAAAAAAAAAAACAGAUGGCAUUUUAUGGCCUUAGGCUCAACAUGGAGUUCUGGAUUUCAAAUUACUAAAACCUAUACAUGGUUCAGUCUGUGCUACCAUCUUUACCCAGAUGAUAUACUUAUGAAAUACAAACAUACAUAUGCAGGGGAUUUCUGUUCUAAGAUUCUAAAGAGACAAGUUAAAGCUUGCACUUCAAAAUAUAUACGAAACCUCGUUCAAUUAAGAGUAAUUAUCUAGAAGUUAGGAUACAGGCAGUCUUGGCAACACAAGACUAACCUAAGGAGAAAUCUCAGGUCUUAUUAUUCUGUAGUCUUUCCCACUAGCCAGAAGA